rnacentral:rRNA from 1 species
GGAUCCAGACUUUGAUCCUGGCUCAGGAUGAACGCUAGCUACAGGCUUAACACAUGCAAGUCGAGGGGCAGCGGGAUUGAAGCUUGCUUCAAUUGCCGGCGACCGGCGCACGGGUGAGUAACGCGUAUCCAACCUUCCGUACACUCAGGGAUAGCCUUUCGAAAGAAAGAUUAAUACCUGAUAGUAUCUUAAGCACACAUGUAAUUAAGAUUAAAGAUUUAUCGGUGUACGAUGGGGAUGCGUUCCAUUAGGUAGUAGGCGGGGUAACGGCCCACCUAGCCAACGAUGGAUAGGGGUUCUGAGAGGAAGGUCCCCCACAUUGGAACUGAGACACGGUCCAAACUCCUACGGGAGGCAGCAGUGAGGAAUAUUGGUCAAUGGACGAGAGUCUGAACCAGCCAAGUAGCGUGAAGGAUGAAGGUCCUACGGAUUGUAAACUUCUUUUAUAAGGGAAUAAACCCUCCCACGUGUGGGAGCUUGUAUGUACCUUAUGAAUAAGCAUCGGCUAACUCCGUGCCAGCAGCCGCGGUAAUACGGAGGAUGCGAGCGUUAUCCGGAUUUAUUGGGUUUAAAGGGAGCGCAGACGGGUCGUUAAGUCAGCUGUGAAAGUUUGGGGCUCAACCUUAAAAUUGCAGUUGAUACUGGCGUCCUUGAGUGCGGUUGAGGUGUGCGGAAUUCGUGGUGUAGCGGUGAAAUGCUUAGAUAUCACGAAGAACUCCGAUUGCGAAGGCAGCACACUAAUCCGUAACUGACGCUCAUGCUCGAAAGUGUGGGUAUCAAACAGGAUUAGAUACCCUGGUAGUCCACACGGUAAACGAUGGAUACUCGCUGUUGGCGAUAUACUGUCAGCGGCUUAGCGAAAGCGUUAAGUAUCCCACCUGGGGAGUACGCCGGCAACGGUGCAACUCAAAUGAA